CUCUCCCCGUGCCGAUGUCACCUCCACCGGCCCAGCUAUGCCCAAUCUGCCAGGCCCAGCCCCACACCCAGGUCGACCAUGCCCCUUGGCCUGGGGAAACCGGCCACUGGGAAUCUGAACUGACUUUGAGGCCCCUCUGGGGGCCAGCAGGGCCCGGUACAUCCAACGGAUGGAAUGAUCCUGGAGCAUAUUUGUGAGUGGAACAAGAGGCUUCUGGAGCAGAAUGUUCCCACAGAUCUUAGCUGUGGGGGGGAGGGGGGGCGUGACUGAUUCCGUUUAAAGGACAAGCAAGUUUUCCAGGAAGGGCACAUUUGAGCACAGCGUCAAAGGUUGGGUAGGAUUGCCGGGCAGGCAGAGAAAGUGGAGGGAUCCUAGGUCAUGAGAAGCACAGGUAAGAGUGGAAAGGUGGUAUAUCUGUGCUUCAGGCUCAUCGGGAAGAUGAAUGGGAGCUGACACGCAGGCCUGGAGGAAAUAAGGCUGGGAUGCAAGAGGGCCCAGAUAAGGACAGACAAACAUAAAGGCACAGAGACAGUUAGUCAGGAGGGAGCUUGGAGGUGAUACAAAUCUUUUUCUCAUUGUAUUUCUUUUUAAUGUUUAUUUAUUUUUGAGACAGACAGAGACAGGAUGCCAGUGGGUUAGGGGCAGAGAGAGAGAGGGAGACCCAGAAUCCAAAGCAGGCUCCAGGCCCCGAGCUGUCAGUACAGAGCCACGCGCAGGGCUCGAACUCACGAGCUGUGAGAUCGUGACCUGAGCCGAAGUCGGACACUCAACCGGCUGAGCAGCUGGGAGCCCCUCAUUGUAUUUUUAUUUUUAGCUUUGUAUGUGUAUGUGUAUGAAGUAGAGGGAGAGGAUGUGACAGCAACUCAAAUCUUUUUGACCUACGUACGCUGUUCCUCUCCUCUUAAGAUACUGACUGCUUUACCUCGUGUGGUGACCGGUCUUCUGUCUUCUUCGGAGCCUUCCCUCCUAUCUCAAGUCCUCAUCCACCCCUCCAGAUGGCCCCUGGCAUAGUCCACCGGCCCUGCUGGGCCUCCUCCAGGCACUGGCUACCAACGUGGAAGAUGCCCAGGUGACUUGUGUCUUCAGCAACUAAGGACUUCAGGACCAAGAGGGCCCUCUGAGCGGUAGCUGGUUCCUCAGAGCGGGAGCUCCGGUCACAAUCAGGCCAAGAGUGGACAGCCCUCCCAAUGCGUCUUGCCAAAGCCAAAUCACGCCUGGUCCAGGGUUUGACGGUCCUCUCCAGCUGUGGGAAAGCUCACGCCUAGAGCAGCAUCCUCCCAAAGCAGCCAAAGUACCAGGUCAACUGGCCGAUGGCUGUCCAGGAUGCCUAAUUGGCUCAGAAAUGAUCUCGAAUUUCGGAUCAGAGACCUCUAGGGUCCAAGUUGGAAGGGAUGAUACAACUCCGCUUGUAAAUGCUUUGGUUUAUGGACCACUUCUUCAUCCUUUGAGGGUGGUGCAGAAUAGCGGCUAAGGGCAUUCCCUGUUGAGCACCGAGUGUGUGUUCCUCCUCUGCUCUCUGCUAGCCGCAAGGCUGGGGGCACCCAGUGGGUGCUGGGCAAAUGCUAGCGGUACAUUCGACGUGCUACAUGACUGACCUCUGACCUCGGCUGUGUGAUCCCCUUCCCGUUGCAGAUGUGGAAUCUAAGGUUCAGACAAGUGCACCCCCACACAGCAUCCCCACACCCCUUUGCCCCACUCUUUCUAUUAAGUCGCUCCUCCUUGUGUCUCUGCUACCUAAAUGACAUCGGUCCCUCGAGUCUGCUCCAAUGCUACCUGUUCUAUAAAUUCUGCCUCUAGAACGGAGUUCAUCUCAGCUUCCUCCGAGCUGCAUAGCACUUUGUUCAUAACUCUAUCGCGCUGUGGAGCUCACUGGGCCACACUAGGCAAGAAAAAGGACCGAGGCGAGGACGUGACACACUGCAGACUGCGGUAAAGACCAGAGAGAGACGGACACAACGAAGGCACGUUUCGCCCCUGCAGCAACGCGUUCCCUCCUUCUCCUGCCCCACAGUCGGACACACCGCGGGGCCUCUCAAAGCCCUCACCACGUUCUGGUUCCUAUCAAAGCUAACUCCACACACACUCUCUCUUCCCUAAGGCGGACUACCUUAGGGGGAGGAAACGGCUCAGUGUCACCUCCGCGCCCGUCAUGGCACAUGGCCGAGGGUUGCAAGUGCUGAAGCAUGCCUGUUCCACUGAUCUGAGAAGAGCUGGCUGAUAGUGGUGAUGGUGCUGAAUGGCGGCAGAGAUGACAGUGAUAACAGGGAGGUUACCUGAACCGAAACCCAGCCGUCACGAAGGGUGAUGUGCACACGAUGUUUCGCUAUGACCGAGUGAACAACAAGGGAUCCACGAAUCAGACCUAAAACGUAGCCCACUCGCUGGCCAACUGGAAAGCAAUGGAAAAUGGAAAAGGCAUAUGGGGGGCGCCUACCUUAUCAGCUUGAGCCCGAUCCAUAGAUUAAUGUGGCGUAGCAGUGGCAUGUGGAAAUCAUUGAAAAACCCUGUUGUUACUGUUCAUUGAGGAAGAUGUAGAAAAGAUCCAAAGGUACAGGGAAGAGAAACAGUCACAGUACUACAAAAUUUCAUGACAGUUCUCUCGCACCUGUCUGAUUUGACACAGCUGAGAUCAGGCUGAUCCUGUGUGUCUCACAAUAUGUUUUAUUUAUUCUUUUUGAAUAAAUAACACACGCAGAAAGUACAAAGCUCAAAAGUCACAAAGAGCCGGGAGUGAAAAGGCUCUCUCCUACUCCUGCCUUCUGCCCACCGUUUUCUCCCAGGUCCCUCAUAGAUCCUUCCCGAGGAGUCCUCUGCCUACCUCUGAACAGUUGUUUUGAGUGGGUUAAUAGUCAGUCCUCAAUCCUUCGAGGUCCUCAGAAACCAAAAAUUGUCUGUAAGUACGAAGUAUGUCCCUAUUGUAGCGUGUCUGUGCUGAUAAAUGAUAAAAUGUUACCGCCUCUAUGUCAGUUACACAACCGGAAGCAGAUAGUGCCACUCUUCCCAAAGACUAUUCUUAGCUGACAAAUGUGGUUGGAGGUACUCAACCGAGAUACAAUCCUUCAACAGGCCCCUGUCCCAAAGAUUUCCUGAGAUGUUGCCAGGAGCCCAUAGUGGUCUAAAAAACGGAGAACUUGAAAUCAGAGUCUGUGUGUGUUGGGUUGUCGCAGCUAAGACGUGAACGGCAGGCCCGCGUUCCGAAAGAACCCAUCUGAGAAAGUUACAGAAGGCAUCUCCGAUUCACAACACGCCCCCCGCCAACCCCCCACUGAAUAACACGUCGUCUGGCAACAGGAGGCGUUUGAUUACAUUUGGAUGGAACGCCUGCAUCAACUCCAGUUGUCCCCGAAUUGGAACUGCUGGGCCUCACGUGCUGCAGCCAACAGUUUGCCUUCACCCACUCCCCUCUCUGAAAUGAACCUUUCUCUGGGAAAACAAGAAACCUACGUGCCAUCCUGGGUGAGAGACGAACAAUGGCUGCGUCCCAGCAUCGCAUCCCAAGCGUGACAGGCAAGAGCACACUGAGGGGUUUCCAACAACGAGCCAUGCUUCAAGCAUCUCUGGAGAUGCCCUCUGAACCAGAGGACCCAAAUGUUCUCCCCGGAGCCCUGCGGUCUCUGUGUUUAAUUCAGUGCGUGGGCCUUAAGUUCUCACUGCGUGAGGUCUAAGGCACCAAGCUACUGUCCCCUUUAGCAAGCCUCCAUAACCUCCCUCCCCAUGCUCUGACUUUGCUUAAUCACUGCAGCAGGUGGAAUAAUGGCUCCUCAAAGACACCAUCACCCUAAUACCCAGA